rnacentral:lncRNA from 1 species
UUCUAUAUAUUGAGUAUUUCUCUUUAUUAUACUUUAUAUUUAGUUAAUUUAGUUAAUUUAUAUAUUUUAUAUUUUAAGAUAGAUGUUUAAAUCUUAAUGUAUUUUUUCAUUUUUAGUGUAAAGCGGCAAUGUUUAAUAGAAGAACUUGGACAAAUAGUCAAAUAGUUAUAUUUAUGUUUUUUUUCUUUUUUUAUAUAAUGGUAAUAUUACAUUAUGGAGAUAAGCCGUUUUUUUAGUGAAAAUUGUAAUCUUACGUAUGUUUAAUGUAGUUUUUCUAUUUUUUUAUGUUGAGUGUUUACAUAUUAUUGUUAUUUUUAAAUGUAAAAUGGUAAUCUUACAUAUGUUUAAUGUAGUAUUUUCAUUUUUAUGUUGUAUGUUUACAUAUUAUUUAUUAUUUUCGAAAUUAUAUAUAAUGUUUUUUUUACUAAUAUUACAUUAUGGAGAUAAGCCGUCUUUUUUUAGUGAAAAAUGAUAAUCUUACAUAUGUUUAAUUAAUGUAGUUUUUCCAUUUUUUAUGUUGUAUGUUUACAUAUUAUUAUUUUUAAAUAAAAAUGUAAAAUGGUAAUCUUACAUAUGUUUAAUGUAGUAUUUCUAUUUUUUAUGUUGUAUGUUUACAUAUAUUUAUUAUUUUUGAAAUUAUAUAUAAUGUUUUUUUUGUUUUUUUUUUAUAAAACGGUAAUGUUACAUUAUGGAGAUAAGCCAUUUUUUUUUUAAGUGAAAAAUGGUAAUCUUACAUAUGUUUAAUGUAGUUUUUCAAUUUUUUGUAUUGUAUGUUUACAUAUUAUUUAUAAUUUUCAAAAAUUUGUAAUAUUAACAUGUAAAACUAUAUUUUAUGCCACGUGUCAUCUUUCGAGAGAAGUUUUUUUUGCUGAUGUGGACGCUCUAUGGAGCCUCAAAAGGUUAGUUAAUUUAGUUAAUUUAUUUAUUUUAUAUUUUAAGAUAGAUGUUUAAAUCUUAAUGUAUUUUUUCAUUUUUAGUGUAAAGCGGCAAUGUUUAAUAGAAGAACUUGGACAAAUAGUGAAAUAGUUAUAUUUAUGUUUUUUUUUCUUUUUUUAUAUAAUGGUAAUGUUACAUUAUGGAGAUAAGCCGUUUUUUUAGUGAAAAUUGUAAUCUUACGUAUGUUUAAUGUAGUUUUUCUAUUUUUUUUAUGUUGAGUGUUUACAUAUUAUUGUUAUUUUUAAAUGUAAAAUGGUAAUCUUACAUAUGUUUAAUGUAGUAUUUCCAUUUUUAUGUUGUAUGUUUACAUAAUAUUUAUUAUUUUCGAAAUUAUAUAUAAUGUUUUUUUACUAAUAUUACAUUAUGGAGAUAAGCCGUCUUUUUUUAGUGAAAAAUGAUAAUCUUACAUAUGUUUAAUUAAUGUAGUUUUUCCAUUUUUUAUGUUGUAUGUUUACAUAUUAUUAUUUUUAAAUAAAAAUGUAAAAUGGUAAUCUUACAUAUGUUUAAUGUAGUAUUUCUAUUUUUUAUGUUGUAUGUUUACAUAUAUUUAUUAUUUUUGAAAUUAUAUAUAAUGUUUUUUAUUUUUUUUUUAUAAAACGGUAAUAUUACAUUAUGGAGAUAAGCCAUCUUUUUUUUUAAGUGAAAAAUGGUAAUCUUACAUAUGUUUAAUGUAGUUUUUCAAUUUUUUAUAUUGUAUGUUUACAUAUUAUUUAUAAUUUUCAAAAAUUUGUAAUAUUAAAAUGUAAAACUAUAUUUUAUGUCACGUGUCAUCUUUCGAGAGAAGUAUUUUUUGCUGAUGUGGACGCUCUAUGGAGCCUCAAAAGGUCCCUUUUAUUAGUAGAAAAAUUUGUAAUAUUAAAAUGUAAAACUAUAUUUUAUGCCACGUGUCAUCUUUCGAGAGAAGUUUUUUUUGCUGAUGUGGACGCUCUAUGGAGCCUCAAAAGGUCCCUUUUAUUAGUAGAGAUUUCCAUUUUUUAUGCUGUAUGUUUACAUAUUUUUUACAAUUUUCGAAAAUAAGUAAUAUUAAAAUGUAAAAAUAUAUUUUAUGCCACGUGUCAUCUUUCGGGAAAAAAAUUUUCCGCUGAUGUGGACGCCCUAUGGAGCCUCAAAAGCUCCCUUUUAUUUUUUAUUUUGUAUGUUUACAUAUUAUUGUUAUUUUUAAAUGUAAAAUGAUAAUCUUACAUAUGUUUAAUGUAGUAUUUCCAUUUUUAUGUUGUAUGUUUUACAUAUAUUUAUUAUUUUUGAAAUUAUAUAUAAUGUUUUUUGUUUUUUUUUAUAAAACGGUAAUGUUACAUUAUGGAGAUAAGCCGUCUUUUUUUUUAAGUGAAAAAUAGUAAUCUUACAUAUGUUUAAUGUAGAUUUCCAUUUUUAUGUUGUAUGUUUUACAUAUAUUUAUUAUUUUUGAAAUUAUAUAUAAUGUUUUUUGUUUUUUUUUUAUAAAACGGUAAUGUUACAUUAUGGAGAUAAGCCGUCUUUUUUUUUAAGUGAAAAAUAGUAAUCUUACAUAUGUUUAAUGUAGUUUUUCCAUUUUUUAUGCUGUAUGUUUACAUAUUUUUUACAAUUUUCGAAAAUAAGUAAUAUUAAAAUGUAAAACUAUAUUUUAUGCCACGUGUCAUCUUUCGGGAAAAAAAAUUUCCGCUGAUGUGGACGCCCUAUGGAGCCUCAAAAGCUCCCUUUUAUUAGUAGAGAUUUUAAGAUAGAUGUUUAAGUUUUAAUGUAUUUUUCCAUUUUUAAUGUACAACGACAAUGUUUAAUAGAAGAAUUUGGACAAAUAGUCAAAUAGUUAUAUUUAUGUUUUUUUUUUUUUUUAUAAAAUGGUAAUGUUACAUUAUGGAGAUAAACCGUUUUUUUAGUGAAAAAUAGUAAUCUUACAUAUGUUUAAUGUAGAUUUCCAUUUUUUUAUGUUGUAUGUUUACAUAUUAUUGUUAUUUUUAAAUGUAAAAUGGUAAUCUUACAUAUGUUUAGUGUAGUAUUUCCAUUUUUUAUGUUGUAUGUUUACAUAUUAUUUAUCAUUUUCAAAAUUAUAUAUAAUGUUUUUUUACAAAAUAGUAAUGUUACAUUAUAAAGAUAAGCUGUCUUUUUUUUCGUGAAAAAUUGUAAUCUUACAUAUGGUUAAUGUAGUUUUUCCAUUUUUAUGUUGUAUGUUUGCAUAUUAUUUUUAAAAAUAAAAAUGUAAAAUGGUAACCUUACA